AGGCAGCCCAGAGCUGAAGGUGGUGUUUUGAGCGUGAUCUCGUCAUUUUACAAGAAAGUGAAAUAAUGACCUCUCUUACCUGGGAUGGUCUUCUUCUAUUAAUGUAGCUGAAGAUUAAGAUUUCCUGCAAGGUUGGAAAUCAUAUGAAGAGGCCUGUUAGAAAUGAAAAGAAUGAAAAUGGAGGAGGGCUGCUAAGGACAGGUGCAGUCAAUAAUGAGAAGAAAGAGCAGACAGCCAUACAGCAAUGGAGGACAGCAACAUUUCAAAAGGAACAUGGUGGUGUGAGGUCAAGAUAUGAUGAAGGG